GCUCUCGGCAGCUCCUGCUGACAGUGCCUGGGGCCUACGAGAAGCCACAGCUCUUGCCCCUGCAGCCUCCCACAGAGCCAGGCCUCCAACCCACCUUUACCUUCCAUGUGAACCCAGUGCUGAGCUCCAGGCUACACGUGGAGCUGAUGGAGCAGCUCUCGGCUGUGCAGAGCGACCCCAGCGCGGAGCUGGAGGCUCAGACCAGCAAGCUGGGCCAGGGGGGCAUCCUGCUCUCCUCUCUGCCCCCAGGCCAGGAGGAACAGUGUUCUGUGGCCCUGGGGGAGGGCCAGGAGGUGGCUCUGAGUGUGAAGGUGGAAAUGAGCUCCGGGGACCUAGACCUACGCCUUGGCUUUGACCUCUGCCACGGGGAGCAGGAGUUUCUGGACAGGAGGAAGCAGGUCGUGGCCAAGGCCCUGCAGCAGGUGCUGGGAUUGAGUGAGGCUCCGGACAGUGGCCAGGUUCCUGUAGUGGCUGUGUUGGGUUCCGGGGGUGGAACCCGAGCCAUGUCUUCUCUGUACGGCAGCCUGGCAGGGUUGCAGGAGCUCGGCCUGCUAGACACUGUGACCUACCUGAGUGGGAUCUCUGGGUCCGCCUGGUGCAUCUCCACACUCUACAGGGACCCAGCCUGGUCCCAGGUGGCCUUGCAGGGCCCCAUGGAACGUGCCCAGGUUCACGUCUGCAGCAGUAAGAUGGGAGCUUUGUCCACGGAGCGGCUGCAGUACUACACUCAGGAACUGGGGGUCCGGGAGCGCAGUGGCCACAGCAUGUCGCUCGUCGACCUCUGGGGCCUCCUUGUGGAGUAUUUCCUGUACCAGGAGGAGAACCCUGCCAAGCUGUCUGACCAACAGGAGGCGGUCCGCCAGGGUCAGAACCCUUACCCCAUUUACACCAGCGUCAACGUCCGCACCAACAUGAGUGGGGAAGAUUUUGCAGAGUGGUGCGAGUUCACACCCUACGAGGUCAGCUUCCCCAAGUACGGGGCUUAUGUUCCCACCGAGCUCUUUGGCUCAGAGCUUUUCAUGGGACGAUUGCUACCUGCAAGGCCCUGACUGACAUGGGGUGGGGCCCUGCCUGUCUCCUUAGGUGUGUGGGGCAGCGCCUUUGCCACCAGCCUGGAUGAGAUCUUCCUAAAGACUGCGGGCUCGGGCCUCAGCUUCCUGGAGUGGUACAGAGGCAGUGUGAAUAUCACAGAUGACUGCCAGAAGCCUCAGCCGCACAACCCAUCGAGGCUGUGAACAAGGCUCCUUACCCCGCAGGGGCCCUUCUCCCAGGCUGUGCUGGACAUAUUCACCUCCCGCCUCACUUCUGCCCAGAGCUUUCACUUCACCCGGGGUCUCUGCUUGCACAAGGACUAUGUGGCUGGCAGAGAGUUCGUGGCCUGGAAAGACACACACCCAGACGCCUUCCCCAACCAGCUCACCCCGAUGCGGGACUGCCUGUACCUGGUGGACGGAGGCUUUGCCAUCAACUCUCCGUUCCCACUGGCUCUGCGGCCUCAGAGAGCGGUGGACCUCAUUCUGUCCUUUGACUAUUCCUUGGAAGCUCCUUUUGAGGUCUUGAAGAUGACAGAGAAGUACUGCCUGGACCGAGGAAUCCCCUUCCCUAGCAUCGAGGUGGGCCCUGAAGACAUGGAGGAGGCCCGUGAGUGCUAUCUGUUUGCCAAGGCUGAGGACCCCCGCUCCCCCAUCGUGCUGCACUUCCCCCUUGUCAACCGUACCUUCCGCACACACCUGGCCCCAGGUGUGGAGCGACAAACAGCUGAGGAGAAGGCCUUUGGGGACUUUGUCAUCAACAGGCCAGACACCCCCUAUGGCAUGAUGAACUUCACCUACGAGCCCCAGGACUUUGAUCGGCUGGUGGCCCUGAGUCGAUACAAUGUUCUGAACAACGUGGAGACCUUGAAGCGUGCCCUCCAGCUGGCUCUGGACCGGCACCAGGUUCGGGAGAGGACUGGGGGCUGACCAAGGCAGGAGGCGGAGGACUGUGACAGAGAGGAGACACCCUGCUCGUGGCCAGGGCUCGUCGAGGGAGGAGCAAUGGGGACGCUGUGCGGGGUCUGCUUUCCUUCUCUCCAGGACCUGCCUCGAGGUGCCCCAGGCCCCGGAAAGCUCUUGCAGAAUUGCAGCUUGGACUUGGGGCAGGGCUCUCCUUGCGCGUUCUUUGGAGAAGAUGGGCAGUAGAUCUCUCCAGGGGCUCUUGGGGAUGUAGGGCAGAAGAGAGCAGCACUCAUCUCACAGCGGGGUGUGGAGAGAAUCAGGUGAGCCACAGGGCCCACCCCAGACACAGAAGCACCUCAGAGGGCCCAGGUUCUCAGCCCAGGGGCUGAGGGCAUCGAGAAGCCAGCUGUCCUCCUUACACUGAGACGGAAAGCAGAGAUGCAUCCACCCACACUUCCUGCAGAGUGGCCCAAGUCCCAACCCUACCUUGAGCUCUUGGAUGCACUGCUAUCAAGAGCAAUGCGGGGCCAAGUGGGGGUGGCCAGCCUAUGUCGCUGACUCCAUCAUCCUAACCCUCCAUCUGCCUUCUGGCCUCCUCCCAGAUUACCCUUCUCUUCCCAGAGCCCUAAAGCCUGUGGGGUGAUGGCCCAUUCCGGCUGCUCCAGGUGGGAGAUGUGCGCAUGUCUCCCUGCCAAUUACCCAGGCUUCACUCUUCGAGCCUGGGCCACAGUCUCUGGUCAUGUGUGUAUGGCCACGUCAUGCAAGUAUACUCUCACCAUUCCUAGUAGCU